UACGUAGGGUGCAAGCGUUGUCCGGAAUUAUUUGGGCGUAAAGAGCCUCGUAGGCGGUUUGUCGCGUCUGCUGUGAAAACUCGGGGCUAACUCCGGGCCUGCAGUGGGUACGGGCAGACUAGAGUGCGGUAGGGGAGACUGGAAUUCCUGGUGUAGCGGUGAAAUGCGCAGAUAUCAGGAAGAACACCAAUAGCGAAGGCAGCUCGCUGGGACGUUACUGACACUGAGGCGCGAAAGCGUGGGGAGCGAACAGG
rnacentral:rRNA from 1 species